GCAGGCUCUGACUAAUAUGGGUCAUAUUCUUGAGGCUGGAGGUUCAUCAUUUGACAAAGUUGUGAAGACCACUGUUUUGUUAGCUGAUAUUAAUGACUUUGCCAAAGUAAAUGAGGUGUACAGUACCUUUUUCACCUCUAAUCAACCUGCCAGGGCUGCUUAUCAAGUGGCAAAUCUUCCAAAGGUAACUGACAAUCUCCAAUGAGAGGUUUUUGGUUUGUUUUAUGCAUGGAUUUGAUAGCUACAAAAUAUAGUAAACAGUAAAGAGGUAAAGGUAAGGUAGGGAAAGUCUGCAUACACGUCAAGUGGCCCAUCAGCCCAGAGCUUAUCCCAGUUUCUGUAGCAUGAAGUGACUAUGUGUGUUUCUACUCCCCCCUGGAUGAGAUGCUAGUCCAUCACAGGGUCACCCCCAGCAUUAACCAGUAUCCAUUUACAUAUCUGGGCUGGGAGAGAGGCACUGUGAGAGUAAAGUGUCUUGCCCAAGAAUAUAAUGCAGUGACCCUGGCAAGGGCUUGAACCAGACCACUAGAUCCAGAGACAAGGGCACUAAUCAUGAGGUCACCACACCUCCCACAUCAGCUCCCAUAACUGAAAAGCUUCUCUUUAAAUAACUUUCAUUUGAAUUGCUAUACACGAAGAUGGGUGACAAAUGGUUCUGUAAAAACAAUGGGUCUUUCAAACUUUUUGUCACAUUUCAUGGGUUUCACAGUUUAGCAGUUAUGCAUCUCGCAGGCUGAAAGUAAUCUAGGAGUCUCAAUUUGUUGAAAGGCUAAGAAAAUCUCAAUUUGUCUGUUUGUUUUUAUCAAUGACAUCUGGACAUCUUAAGACCGUCGCAUACAAGCAGAUUUCUUGUCGGCCGACAAAAAA